AGGAUGAACGCUGGCGGCGUGCCUAAUACAUGCAAGUCGAGCGGUAAGGCCCCUUCGGGGGUACACGAGCGGCGGACGGCUGAGUAACACGUAGGAACGUACCCCAAAGUGAGGGAUAAGCACCAGAAAUGGUGUCUAAUACCGCAUGUGCUCUUCGGAGGAAAGCUUCGGCGCUUUGGGAACGGCCUGCGCAUGAUUAGCUUGUUGGUGAGGUAAUGGCUCACCAAGGCGACGAUCAUUAGCUGGUCUGAGAGGAUGAUCAGCCAGACUGGGACUGAGAGCGGCCCAGACUCCUACGGGAGGCAGCAGUAGGGAAUUUUCCACAAUGGGCGAAAGCCUGAUGGAGCAACGCCGCGUGCAGGAUGAAUGCCUUCGGGUUGUAAACUGUCUUUUAUAUGUGACGAAUAUGACGGUAGCAUAUGAAUAAGGAUCGGCUAACUCCGUGCCAGCAGCCGCGGU
rnacentral:rRNA from 1 species